UACGUAGGGGGCUAGCGUUGUCCGGAAUCAUUGGGCGUAAAGCGCGCGUAGGCGGCCCUGUUAGUCCGCUGUAAAAGUCAAAGGCUCAACCUUUGAAUGCCGGUGGAUACUGCAGGGCUAGAGUCCGGAAGAGGCGAGUGGAAUUCCUGGUGUAGCGGUGAAAUGCGCAGAUAUCAGGAGGAACACCGGUGGCGAAGGCGGGUCUCUGGGCCGUAACUGACGCUGAGGAGCGAAAGCGUGGGGAGCGAACAGG
rnacentral:rRNA from 1 species